rnacentral:rRNA from 1 species
GAUGAACGCUGGCGGCGUGCCUAAUACAUGCAAGUCGAGCGAACAGACGAGGAGCUUGCUCCUCUGACGUUAGCGGCGGACGGGUGAGUAACACGUGGAUAACCUACCUAUAAGACUGGGGUAACUUCGGGAAACCGGAGCUAAUACCGGAUAAUAUAUUGAACCGCAUGGUUCAAUAGUGAAAGACGGUUUUGCUUUCACUUAUAGAUGGAUCCGCGCCGCAUUAGCUAGUUGGUAAGGUAACGGCUUACCAAGGCAACGAUGCGUAGCCGACCUGAGAGGGUGAUCGGCCACACUGGAACUGAGACACGGUCCAGACUCCUACGGGAGGCAGCAGUAGGGAAUCUUCCGCAAUGGGCGAAAGCCUGACGGAGCAACGCCGCGUGAGUGAUGAAGGUCUUCGGAUCGUAAAACUCUGUUAUUAGGGAAGAACAAAUGUGUAAGUAACUAUGAACGUCUUGACGGUACCUAAUCAGAAAGCCACGGCUAACUACGUG